AAUAAAGUUGGAAUAUUGCAAGGAAAAAGUCAUACAUUUAUAUAUAUAUAUAUGUGUGUGUCUCUAUAUAUUGUGUACGUAUUGCAAGAAAAAAAGUCAGAAUGGUGCAAAAAAGGGCCCAGAAUAACGUUAAAAUAAUGUUGCUGUUUCAAGCUAAGUUUGUUGCUUAAAAUAUACAGUGUGUAAUGACAAUCAAUAUGUAAUCAUUUGAUGAGGUGACUAAUUCUACUGUACAUUCAUAAGUCAUAACGGGCCUCUGAGGGAAACUAAUUCCAAUGUGUUUCGCAGAGAAACGAGUUUGACGCCCCUGCUGGAAAUUGUCCACCAGGGUGACCGUGAGUGGCGAUUGGCUGUCGACCAGGCCAGGGUGUGCCCCGCCUUCUUGCUCAAAGUCAGCAGGGAUGUAUAGAAAAUGGAUAUCCUCAUGAAAAUAUCUCCGUUUGUCUAAGUUUGAUAAGAGAGGAUUUGAGGUAAUGCUGGUGGAGAUGCUUGACUUUUCCGUUGUUGUGUGAGUGUUGUUGAAAAAGUCAGGGCUUGAGUGGAGGAGCGCUCGCUUGCAGUGAGGAAUUUUCGAGCCGGGGCUGCGUCUUCCUGCGGGCCCUUUGGCACUGACUGUACACUGAGAGGGUAUCAUUUAUAUUCUACUCCAGAGGUAACAGAAGAACAUGCGAUUGGGAAACAGCUCAAACACCACUCGGCUUGUGAGGCUCAAGGCGUCCAAAAGUCAAGCUUUGUCUCGUUUUCAGCAAGUGCGAAUGUGUGUGUGUGUGUGAGACUUUUUUUUUUUUCUCCCAUUUUCUCCAAUUUUUGGGAUACUUUUUACAACAUGCUCUAUUUUACAGUUGUGGUGCAAAAUGGCUGAGCGGAGCCGUGAUGGAAUUUGAGCAGCGAUGAAAUCUGACCCGUGAAGCUGCCUUUAAAUGCCAAAGGUGCUUCUCUCUAACCUGUAUUGAGAAGCCCAGCAGGCAUUUCAAGCCAUUGAGAUAAUUGCAAAUGUAUCCUUUGGCGCAAAAAACAAAAAAAACAAAAACAAAAAACAGAACUCGCCCUCACUCAUUUUCUCUCUCUUUUUUUCUCCGCACCGUCCUCCCAUGGCUGACAAUUAAGACGGGAUAACUCGCCUUGAUUAAAAGGUUACAAUCGUACUGAAAGAGCCUUUCACACGGGGCAGACCCGUACCGCUCUAAUGAUCGCGGAGUCCGCCAUUCAAGGGCCAGCCAUCCAUCAUAGCGGUAAGGCCACUGGCUUUAUUAUAAUACAGAGGACAGACGUGCUCUCGGGCUAUGUGGGACACAAUAGAGGUCUUUCAACAGACCUAUAAAUACAUGAUCUGUCAGGGCUUGCUGUCCUCGGGGCUCUCUCGGAAACGUUUGAGCCCCGCGGUUGGCCAUCACUUAUGCUAAGAUAUGCGCCGCGUCCCCCGGGCUGAGACUAAGGCUCGGUUCAUUUCAGCCCCUCAUCAACCACCACAUUCUACCUCCAGCCAUGAGAAUAAAUAAGAACAAGAUAAAAAAGAGAAAAAAAAGUCCUUCAUUAUGACGGCGAGCAAAAUGCUAGUAAACAAAUAAACAGGCAUUGCCACGUGAGACACUGUUGAUUAUGAACCUAAAACAAACACAAAUCGUGUAAUUACACUUCUACCUCGACUUAAGAAUUUAAUUCAUUCCGUGGCCAAGCUCAUUUAUUUUAAAUUAAUAUUCCCAAUUGAAAUGAAUUAAAAUUACAUUAAUCCAUUCCCUGCCCAAAAGCGCCACAAUAUUUUGUUACCUGUCUUUAAAGACCGUGUUAACCCCUUUUUCACAAUCUCAGUUGUACAGAUUUCUUUGGGCGGGGUUAAAAACAAGCCCACCAUACAUUCUGGCCAAGAGUCAGAGCUUCUGCGCCAUACUGAGCGUCGUCAUUUCAUCAGGGGCUAUCCAUCGCAAUUGCGAGUUACUUUGUAAUAAUAACUUUUCUGCCACUACAGCAUGCAGUUAGCCAUCAAGCUAUGCCGACGACCCGAAAAAAAUUCCACUUCCCUGAAGUGUUAUGCCACGCGCGGCGCACCGAGUGAGGCGAUGGCGAAUUGGACGGCUCCACUGCAAAUUGGCCAAAUACUAGCGGCUAGUAGCUAGUAGCUGCUAGCAGGCUCGCGGACCACAGUCGGCUCCAGCCAAUACACCACAGCCUCGCUCCUGCGCUUCACGUCGAUCCACACAACAGUGACAUUUAAGUAAACUGUUUAUUACGUUCACUAGCCCGUGAGCUAGCGAGCCAGCGAGCUCGCUAGACCGGCGGCGGUGUCGUCUAAUACGUCAGCACCUCGCUCUGCAUUUUUGUGUGUAGAUCCCCACAUACUAGAGACACUUUAUUUAUUUUUUACUGAACACAGCGGGACACGUUAUUCAACCUGUAGCUGACUACUAACAUUUAAGCACAUACUGUACAAACCUAUUUGAUUGACAGCUGAAAAUUGAGUGGGGCGUGUUUUCAGUACAUUCAGCGGACACACCCACAUUAUCCAACAUCCUCAAGAAUGACAAUUUAUAUACAGUACUUAGCAUUUUUUUCCUGUUUGGCAGGAUUGUUAACAAUACUCUUCUCUGUCAUGUGUCAACUUUACAAGACUUUUUUGUCACUUUAACGGAUCUGCAAUAAAUAAUAAUAGCACUGUUUUGUAUAAAAGCAAAAUGCAACAAAAAGAAAUAAAGCGUAAUUUUCACAUCAGCAACUAUGCGCCUGAGCUGUGUGCCUUGAAAGUGGGCGUGGCCUAGUGUGUGAGGCCAGGAAUAUGGUCUGUUUGACUCUGUGAGUGUUCUCAUUUUGUGUUUGUUUGAAUGUUUGUACCAGUAAGAAAACAGCUGAAAUUACAUCGAUGACUUUGCCCCCGAGCCAAGAUCAGCAAUCUGGCAGUUGGACGUGUUCUUUUUGGAGAUUAGUGUGGAUGUAGGAUGUCGCAUGUUCGAAUAAUAAGCAGAUCUCUCUUUGCCACAGCUGCAUCCUCCUGGCUUGGCCUGCAGCCUUCAGGAGGCUUCCCGCCUCGCUCUACUUCUCGCCUGCAGCCACAAAGGGAGAAAACAGGCGAAGGAGGGAAAAUAAAACUUCAGGCACACCAUGCGAGGCCAUCUGGGUAAUCUUGUUCAAAAGGCUCGAGGUGAUAGCGGCAAUUUACACAGGCAAAAAGAAGAAGGGAAAAAAAGAGCUUAUUUCCAUACCUAGCAGCCUCAAGGAGAUGCAAUUGAAUAAACCAAGAAUUAGAAAAGAAUUACAGGAAAACCAAUAUGGAAUAUUCAACAUUAGAUCAAUUUGUACUUUUCACCCUCCCCCUAAAACAAACACACACAUUGAAAUGUAGCAACGUGACAUAGAGUCGACACACACAGCUGAGGGGGAAAAACAAUAUUUGUGAUGAAAGCAAAUCAAACUCAAAUCCAACAUGUUAAAGUCAAGUUGAUUAGUGUGGAAAUGUAAAAAAGCGUCUUGGGUUGGCAUAUCCCACAGU